GCCGAACACCCCCCCUUAUUUGUGCCUCUCGAAAGUUUAUCCGAUUCAACUGAUGAGCAAAAGCGGUAGUCACUGAUUCAACCAGUUACUAAUAAAUAAUGGGCACCAGUUUAUUAUUCCAACUCCGCCGAACACACCCGAGGUUAUCGUCACGGAUAAGAUGUUCCUUUUGAAAAAGGCUUGCGGUGGUCGGUCCAUCUAGACUGCCAAACCGGUUCCAACAAAGUCUUCAUGCGUGGUGGUUUGGUGUCAGCAAUGACUCAUGGAAUGCGGUGACGGAAUAUUAUCCAGAGUCCCAACAAAAGAAGACCACCAAACGUUACAACGGCAACAAUCAACGACCAUCUAUCUGCCUUGUCUACGCCUACCAUCAUGGCAUCUAGCGAUGGUUCUCUCAGCAAAGUAUGACCGACCUCUCCUUGUUUCUACUUUCUUCCCUUUUCUAUCAAUCCCUUCCGAGCUAAUCACUCGAAUAAUUUGGCUUUCACAACUUCCCGUUUGCUAGCUGGCCGAGUCGCUGACUUCGUCCCUCCUCACCUUGGCUACACAUUUGGUUUGGUUGGUAUCGCUAUCUUCAACCUCGUCAUCUCGUUCAUCAAUAACCAAUAAGCGUUUUUCAUCCUGCGAGCCAUCUGUGGUCUUGACUGUCAUGGCUACCCCUGGUUCCAUCAACAUGAUCAGCGGGUCCUCCUUUUCCUCCGUCUUUAUCCUUACUUGACUAUUAGAUGUUGACAAUCAUCUAAUCCAAAUGUACCCUGACCCAAUUGAGCAAGCUAAAAAGCUCGCAUUAACUGGCAUGGCUGGUGCACUUACCAACAUCAUGGCUCUUGUUUUGGGGGUGUCUUCCUCCUUGCAUCUUGGAGGUGGUACUUCCGGUUUAUCAGCCGAAGCUGUUGCCGAUAACCUCCUUGGUACCGCCAAGUCAAGGGUAUGGACCCCAGUGGUGUUUUCCUUCUCAUGAGCUACCUUGUUCUUUUUAUCCUCAGUUUCGCUCAAGUAACCGUUGGCGAUUGGAAUUCUGCCAUCUUUAUCGCUCCUCUAGUUAGUCUCUUUAGGGUUUUUUUUGUUUUUUUUUUUUUAUUUGGGUAUUUCUUAACUGGUCUAGAGGUUUGUUACUCUACCGUUCUAACGGUCGAACGGUCUAAUGGAUUAUAUAAAUAACCAUCGUUGCUUCAAUAGGCACAAAAGUGCACAUAUCUAAAAACAUAGAGCUCACCGUUCAUAGAAGACAUUAUUAUCGCAUCAGAUACUUCUCCAUAGAAUAAUCUAGACGUGAACUCGGGUGUAUCUAAGCCUUUUUGUCUUUUUCAAUGAAGCUUAGUUUUAGCGAUUACUUAUGAAAC
rnacentral:sRNA from 1 species